AAAAGUACAAAACCGAAUAGUUUUAUGUACAUUUUAUGUACAUUUUUUAAAUCUUUCCAGUGUAUAAAGGUUAUUUCUAGACAAUAUUGCUCACACGUUCACUAGUUUUUUCUGAGAGAUGAAAUUUGAUUUGUGGCUACAUUCACACACAACAUCUGGUUGGAACGGACAGUUGAUGCUUCGCCGAGGCAUAAUGGUUUUCUCUCUUUGCUUUUUUACUAUGAAUUUAGGUCAUUAAUUUGUAUCUGUCCUUUGUUUACUCAAGGAGCAGAGACAAAGGGGCAGCUGUGGAAACAUUUGGCUGUGCCGAAGGGUAGUGGGCUCGACGUGACGAGUGUAUUACCAGCUUGGGUCUUCUAUAUGUAGCUCCACCACAGAAGUUGGAGGGAGCUGCGUGCCAGUGUACUGGGGGAGAGCGGCGCACAUGCAUGGCAUCGAUAGGGCAGCCGUUGCACUGAGCUUCAUCUGUGUGGCGUACAUCCCCGUCCCAGCCUGAGAUCCAGCGGGCCGCAGACAGUGAACGAGUAAAAGAGUCGCCCAGCGCACAUCUGCACACAGCAUUAUCAUUAGUUCUCCCGCAUCUCCCAGGAUCACUGACAAAAUGAACAAUACCAACAAUCACUCCCUUCAGCUGCAGCCAUAUGGGCGCCAUACUUAGAUUGCAGGGGAAGAGGAAAAAAGACAAGCAAUUGUACUGGCAUCUGUUUGGCAGUCCUUAGAAGCUGUUUCAAGAUGAAUCUGCUGUGUGAGGAAAGUUUUUUCCCUCUGCCUACCUCUCUCUUUGGACAAGGGAAAGUAUUGCAGGUUGCCCUCCAGUCGGCCGGCUCUUGCAAUUACUGUACCUGCUCUUUAAUGUGGCGUCCUAAUGGGAUGGGCGAGUGCAGACCCAGAUGGUGAGACAAAGUGCUUUUCUUCCAGGCUUAUGAGGCGGUGCAUCUUGCUGGAUUACCUUUCUCUUUCGGCACAAGCUUUGAAAUUUCUCACACUUGGAUUUUAUCAAAUCAAAUAAAUCGAACAGCAUUCCUUUAGCAUGCUUAACAUUUUUUAGAUAUCAAAUUUUCUCCAGCUUG